rfam:Scleropages formosus scaffold17317, whole genome shotgun sequence.
GUUUAUUGUCUGUUGUUAACUUAAAACAUUACGUGACCUCAUCAGAUCUCAGAAACUAAGGAAUACUAGGCCUGGCUGGUACUUGGGUGGCAGACCUCCUGGGAUUACCAGGAGCUAUAAGCU